rnacentral:snoRNA from 12 species
UCUUCAGUGAGGUACAUCCUUACCUGUUACUCCCUCCGGGGAGUUUCAGUACAUGAUGAAUGGAGUAUUAUGAGACAUGAUUAAUGUCUCCCUCUUAGAAGGAACGGCAACACCUCCUAAGAGCCAUUCUGAU